rnacentral:sRNA from 1 species
CUGAUGGCUCUGGGUGGAUACUAGCAGCCAUUAUUUAGGCACAGAACAAGUAAAGCAACAGCUGCAAAAGAAUUCCUUAUCCACCAACAGACCUCAAACUUGUUCUGAAGAAUCUAUCUUUAGGGAUGAGAAGGCAAUUCAGUCUCCAUGCCCAUUCACUCCUUGGCUUCU